GACACACUUCUUCAGCUGCUGCAAUAAAGCAUGACUAAAUCACCACAUGUCUGACUGAUAGCGUUUGGUGCCUUUUUCUCAUGGAGGUGAAUUUUCACAGGGUGGGGUUGGAUCUCCGAGGGAGGGGCUGCUGCCUCUCCUCAGAGCCCUG